AUUGAACGCUGGCGGCAUGCUUUACACAUGCAAGUCGAACGGUAACAGGCCGCAAGGUGCUGACGAGUGGCGAACGGGUGAGUAAUGCAUCGGAACGUGCCCAGUCGUGGGGGAUAACGCAGCGAAAGCUGCGCUAAUACCGCAUACGAUCUAUGGAUGAAAGCGGGGGACCGAAAGGCCUCGCGCGAUUGGAGCGGCCGAUGUCAGAUUAGGUAGUUGGUGGGGUAAAGGCUCACCAAGCCGACGAUCUGUACCUGGUCUGAGAGGACGACCAGCCACACUGGGACUGGGACACGGCACAGACUCCUACGGGAGGCAGCAGUGGGGAAUUUUGGACAAGGGGCGCAAGCCUGAUCCAGCAAUGCCGCGUGCAGGAAGAAGGCCUUCGGGUUGUAAACUGCUUUUGUACGGAACGAAAAGGCUCUGGUUAAUACCUGGGGCUCAUGACGGUACCGUAAGAAUAAGCACCGGCUAACUACGUGCCAGCAGCCGCGGUAAUAC
rnacentral:rRNA from 1 species